UUGGAGGGCAAGUCUGGUGCCAGCAGCCGCGGUAAUCCCAGCUCCAAUAGCGUAUAUUAAAGUUGUUGCAGUUAAAAAGCUCGUAGUUGAAUUUCGGGGUUCUACCGUUGGUCGGGCUAUUGUCUGUACUGGCGUGUAGAAUUUCUACCUUCUGGGGAACUAUCAUGUUAUUAAUUUAGCGUGGUAGGAAACCAGGACCUUUACCUUGAAAAAAUUAGAGUGUUCAAAGCAGGCUUAUGUCUGAAUACAUUAGCAUGGAAUAAUAAAAUAGGACGGUGGUCCUGUUUUGUUGGUUUCUGAAUCACCGUAAUGAUUAAUAGGGAUAGUUGGGGGCAUUAGUAUUCAAUUGUCAGAGGUGAAAUUCUUGGAUUUAUUGAAGACUAACUACUGCGAAAGCAUUUGCCAAGGAUGUUUUCAUUAAUCAAGAACGAAAGUUAGGGGAUCGAAGACGAUCAGAUACCGUCGUAGUCUUAACCAUAAACUAUGCCGACUAGGGAUCGGACGAUGUUAACUUUUCUUGACUCGUUCGGCGCCUUACGGGAAA
rnacentral:rRNA from 1 species